CUCGGAUUAGCUCAGUCUGGUAGAGUACGCCGUUUGGGGCGGUGGGGUCAAAGGUUCAAAUCCUUUAUUCGAGA
rnacentral:tRNA from 2 species